rnacentral:rRNA from 1 species
AGUGAACGCUGGCGGUAGGCCUAACACAUGCAAGUCGAACGGCAGCACAGUAAGAGCUUGCUCUUACGGGUGGCGAGUGGCGGUCGGGUGAGGAAUACAUCGGAAUCUACUUUUUCGUGGGGGAUAACGUAGGGAAACUUACGCUAAUACCGCAUACGACCUACGGGUGAAAGCAGGGGAUCUUCGGACCUUGCGCGAUUGAAUGAGCCGAUGUCGGAUUAGCUAGUUGGCGGGGUAAAGGCCCACCAAGGCGACGAUCCGUAGCUGGUCUGAGAGGAUGAUCAGCCACACUGGAACUGAGACACGGUCCAGACUCCUACGGGAGGCAGCAGUGGGGAAUAUUGGACAAUGGGCGCAAGCCUGAUCCAGCCAUACCGCGUGGGUGAAGAAGGCCUUCGGGUUGUAAAGCCCUUUUGUUGGGAAAGAAAAGCAGCAGGUUAAUACCCCGCUGUUCUGACGGUACCCAAAGAAUAAGCACCGGCUAACUCCGUG